AGAGUUUGAUCAGUGGCUCAGGACGAACGCUGGCGGCGUGCUUCAUACAUGCAAGUCGAACGAGAAUCCGGUGCUUGCACCGGAGGAAAGUGGCGGACGGGUGAGUAAUGUGUAGAGAAUCUGCCCUGAAGAGGGGGACAACAGAGGGAAACUUCUGCUAAUACCCCAUAUGCGCGUAGUUGAGAUACUAUUCGUGAAAGAUUUAUCGCUUCAGGAUGAGUCUGCAUCUGAUUAGCUAGUUGGGGGUGUAAUGGACCACCAAGGCGACAAUCAGUAGCUGGUUUGAGAGGAUGAUCAGCCACAAUGGGACUGAGACACGGCCCAUACUCC
rnacentral:rRNA from 1 species